GCCCAAAAAGAUUUUUGAAAGCUGGCUGAUUAUCCAACUCUUCAGGAUUGGGACGACCCUAUCAAGAAGAAUUCUCUUCGGGAUCAUUUUGAGAAGUAUCCUCGAUCUUCCUCCGAGCAGAUGGGGUCUGAGAACUAUGGUCCUCCGCCACAUUCUCGCUCCUAGACUCUCUACCUGAAGCAGCCAUGAAAGAGAAGCAAAACAAAAACCCAAGGGGAG
rnacentral:lncRNA from 1 species